rnacentral:sRNA from 12 species
UGAUUUCGUUGUAGAGCGCAACGAACAAAAAAUAAAGAAAGCUCACGGAGA